rnacentral:rRNA from 1 species
CGGAAAGGCCUCAGCUUGCUGGGGUACUCGAGUGGCGAACGGGUGAGUAACACGUGGGUGAUCUGCCCUGCACUUUGGGAUAAGCCCGGGAAACUGGGUCUAAUACCGAAUAUGACCACUUCUUGGAUGUUGUGGUGGAAAGCUUUUGCGGUGUGGGAUGAGCCUGCGGCCUAUCAGCUUGUUGGUGGGGUAAUGGCCUACCAAGGCGGCGACGGGUAUCCGGCCUGAGAGGGUGUACGGACACAUUGGGACUGAGAUACGGCCCAGACUCCUACGGGAGGCAGCAGUGGGGAAUAUUGCACAAUGGGCGCAAGCCUGAUGCAGCGACGCCGCGUGGGGGAUGAAGGCCUUCGGGUUGUAAACUCCUUUCGCUAUCGACGAAGCCACUUGUGGUGACGGUAGGUAGAUAAGAAGCACCGGCUAACUACGUGCCAGCAGCCGCGGUAAUACGUAGGGUGCAAGCGUUGUCCGGAAUUACUGGGCGUAAAGAGCUCGUAGGUGGUUUGUCGCGUCGUCUGUGAAAUCCCGGGGCUUAACUUCGGGCGUGCAGGCGAUACGGGCAUAACUUGAGUGCUGUAGGGGAGACUGGAAUUCCUGGUGUAGCGGUGAAAUGCGCAGAUAUCAGGAGGAACACCGAUGGCGAAGGCAGGUCUCUGGGCAGUAACUGACGCUGAGGAGCGAAAGCAUGGGUAGCGAACAGGAUUAGAUACCCUGGUAGUCCAUGCCGUAAACGGUGGGCGCUAGGUGUAGGGGGCUUCCACGUCUUCUGUGCCGUAGCUAACGCAUUAAGCGCCCCGCCUGGGGAGUACGGCCGCAAGGCUAAAACUCAAAGGAAUUGACGGGGGCCCGCACAAGCGGCGGAGCAUGUGGAUUAAUUCGAUGCAACGCGAAGAAUCUUACCUGGGCUUGACAUGUACCGGAUCGGGCUAGAGAUAGUCUUUCCCUUGUGGUCGGUAUACAGGUGGUGCAUGGUUGUCGUCAGCUCGUGUCGUGAGAUGUUGGGUUAAGUCCCGCAACGAGCGCAACCCUUGUCUUAUGUUGCCAGCACGUUAUGGUGGGAACUCAUGAGAGACUGCCGGGGUUAACUCGGAGGAAGGUGGGGAUGACGUCAAAUCAUCAUGCCCCUUAUGUCCAGGGCUUCACA